GGAGGCGGCAGGGCGCCUGGUGGCCCUCCCGGUCUUCAAAACCGAUGGUCCCGAGCACCUCGGGACGGCGGGUUCGAUUCCCGUCCGCCUCCGCCA
rnacentral:tRNA from 1 species